rnacentral:rRNA from 1 species
UACGUAGGGUGCGAGCGUUGUCCGGAAUUAUUGGGCGUAAAGGGCUCGUAGGCGGUUUGUCGCGUCGGGAGUGAAAUCCACUGGCUUAACUGGUGGCUUGCUUUCGAUACGGGCAGACUGGAGGUAUGCAGGGGGAGAACGGAAUUCCUGGUGUAGCGGUGAAAUGCGCAGAUAUCAGGAGGAACACCGGUGGCGAAGGCGGUUCUCUGGGCAUGUCCUGACGUGAGGAGCGAAAAGUGUGGGGGAGCGAACAGG